GAUGUUAGCUCAGGGCCAGUCUUCCUCAAAAGAAAGAAAGAAAGAAAGAAAGAAACUUUAACUGUAUCUAUCACCUACAGGAUACUGUCCAGAUGCCUCAGCCUACCUUUCCCAAGUCUCUAGAAUCUAAUGUUAAUCUCAUUUGCAAUCUUACUUGCCGUAUCUUGCACUGCUUCUCUCUGCACUUCGAUACUUCGAUGCCAACCACACCAGCCCAUUUCUCCCCACAUGUGCUUCGUGCAUUUCUGCCUCCUCUCAAGCUCUGGACACAGCGGAAAUGCUGUCCCCGCUCCUUACUUUGCAUUGUCCAUCAUCUCCGGCUGGGCCUGUAUUCAGGGAGGCAGUAGAUACUCUACAAGAACACCCAGAAAGGCAGCCACUGCUGGUUUCGCCUCCGCCUCCUCUCUUAUCUGAUUGUAGCCGGAAGACCUCAAAUGUGCUAACUCCAAAGAGAUCUGAGAAUAGAGACCGGAUGAGGUGAGGAGGAACGAGAAGAUUAUUUUGAGGGGUGAAAGCCUUAAGAAAGGGAGAGGAAUGUCCUUAUAGUCACCAGCCGCUCAGGUGGGGUGGCUCCUUACCAAGUGUAACAGGACGUAUCAGGACAAGCCAUGACAGGAGGCGCCAAGAGAAGAAGCUCAUCCCCAUACUUAUACCAAAGCCACCCAAGAGAGGCAGGGAGCAGCCUGAAGGGGGCCGAGUCAAUGGAAGUAAGAGAACUCCAAGAGAAAGGAAAAAGGGGAGAUGGGCUAAGAGCUGAAUUCUGCACCUGCUGAGCAUUCUUCAAAGAGACUUUAAGUCCUGUCUUUAAACACACCCUCACCUUCAAUCACCAUCUUAACCAUUUAAUUAAUCUGUGCCUCAGUUUCCUCAGCUGUAAAGUGGGAACAAUAAUAUCUACACCACGGGGUUGUGAGAAUUUAAAGAAUUAAAAUGGGUAAAGCCCAUGGUAUCAGGUUCUGGUAUAAAGUUAUUACUGUUUAAGUGUUUGCUUUCCUCUGGGGAGACGAUACAGGUUAGUGGUUAAGGGCACAGAUUCUGGAUUCAACCUGAUUUGGUUUGAAACUUGGUUCUGCCAUGUACUAGUGUGACCUUGGGCAAGGACUUCUCUGGGCCCAUUUUUUCAUGUGUAGGGCCUUGUAAGAAUUAAAUAGGUUAACACACAAAAAGCACUGGAAACAGUCCUUAAUGCAUGUUGCCAGCUGUUAAUGCUCAUUAUCUGUCCCUUCCCCUCUUUGUUUACCCACUUGCGGCCCAUCAUUGAAUAUGGAACUUCUUGUCCAGUGAAAGCACGCCAGAGACAUCAAGAAGCUGUGCUCAGAGCCUCUUACUCCGAGCAGGUACCCUGCCAAGACUUACUUGGUCAGCACUCCCUGAGUGCACUGAACUUUCCCACAUAAAAUACAAUGGGGUUUGUGGGAACAGGUAACCCUGUUUCCCUUCCUGCCCUUGGAAGAUCAGGAAUAAUCACUUAGUUAACCCCCAUUCUGUUUUCAUGAGACCCACCUUUCUCCUAAGCAGAGGGGGAAACGGUUAAGUCAUAGAAGAUAUUUUGAAUUAAAUCAAGAAUAAAGCCACACAUUCACAUACCAAUUACUCAGGCUCAAGCUGCUGGGAGCUUUUCAAAGUCUCAAGGUCAAGAUUGAAAAUCGUGCUUUUAACUUGAAAAACAUCAAAGGUUAAUUGUGAAUCUAAAAUUUUAGAGCAUUCAGAACUGUUUUUAACUUGAUUUUAACGAAUAAAGCAUUUGUUCAUAAUGGCUUAAAUUUUUAAAAAAGAAAGAAAUCCAGUCGACCUUGCAAUACAGAAAAAAGAAUUCUUUGUUGCAUGGAAGAAAAAGUUGUAGCCUUUGUACUCCUAAGAAGUGUAUUUUUAAUAUGUAUUAGAGCACUCUUUUUUGGUACCUAAGAACAUAGGGUAUCCUAAAAAUCAAUAGCCAGGGGUUAGCACACUUUCUAUUAUGAUUUCCUUUCUAAACUGUCUCUCAGAAAAAUUGUGUUUGAAUACUGUAGUUUUUGCUUGUCGUCUUAUUUUGUUUUUGCAAUAAUCCUGCCCAACAUAUGUAGCAGACUUGGUAAAGCAAACAAAUCAAAACAAAUUGGAAACCUUAAGAAACUUGAUAAAAUUUUUUGUGAAGUCAAGAAGUGUGAUGCUAGCACCACCUAGUGUCUAUAUUGCGUAAUUGCCGCAAGUGAAAUUAUAAGAGGAAAAUAAUUAAUCCAAGGUACACAGCCAAUUUAGGUGAAAAUCCUGGAAUUAAAUCCACAUUGACUGAUAGCGCCCUGCUUUUUUUCUAUUGUUCUACACAAUCUUAUAAUAUCAAAGAAAGUAAAGAUUUAAAAAGUAAAUCCUUCCACUAACAGAAAUCCAAUUUAAGUGAAAAUUUUAUUAUAAAACAGGAAUAUUUGAAUGUCUAAUAUGUCUGAAGAACCACGAGAGCCUUCACAGAGCUGCCAAAGUCAAUUCCAUACACUCUACGGUGGGGCAAGACUGUUUGCAUAAUUUCUUGCUCUGAGAAGCACGGUUCCCCGAGGCCUCUGCAGCGAACCCCACCCAGGGCUUCCGGUGUUGCUGUGCCGUCAGUGUUGCCGUCAGUGUUGCCAUACAGUAUUCAACCUCUGGAAUACAUCUACAUGGAACAAAGGAGAUCAUCUCAUUCGCCUACGUGGCCCUACUUUUAAGAUAUUUAGUUACUUCAUGCCACAUUAUUUUUGUGUUUCCCACAGAAAGUCGAUGUGCCCUUUUCACAGGCAUGACCAGCCCCAGGACAAAUGUGAAAUGAGUCAAGUUUGGGUUUGAUGUCUCUGUUCUCUUCAGUUCAGCCUGUAUACCCUUUGCCUCACUUCCGGGUACUACCUCCCACCCAAAAAAGCCACCGGCUCCUCGCCAAUUUUCCAUUCCUCAGGGUCCUGCAAGUCAACGGCAAAUUAAAUGGUAAUUGUGCUCUCCACAUAAAAUCUUUUCUGGAAUAAAGUAAAAUGUGAAUGAAUGAAGGAGCAAAUGAAUGACUAAAUACUAAACAAACAAGUCAAAUUGCUUGUGCAAAAAUAUGAAUGCCUCACGAUGACUUAAGUGCUACUCUGCCUAUAUACGGCUUUUCAAUUUUCCCUAGGAGUUCUGAGUGGAACUCAGACAAAUUUAAUAAGACCUGUGGAUGAGAUGGUUUGGGGCAGAGGGCCCUUUUGGUGCAGAGGUGGUGCACAUCCUGGCUCAGAUCCCCAUCCCAGAUCACUGUUGUCACUUUCUUACUUGCCUGAAUUCCCAAAGGCACUCCCUGAAUCUAUAUCCUUCAUCUGUAAAGUGAGAAAUAUGAACAACUAUUUCCUAUGACUAUUAUUAUGAAGUUUCAAAAGGAUCUACUAUGGUACUUAGUAAUCACUAGUUACUCAAAGUAUGACCAUAAUAAUAAUAAUUACUGUUAUUACUGUUCCUAUUGAUGUGUGCUCAAUGUGAAAUUCAUUCGAGGAUUUUAGCAGGUGGCAACAAUACCUUCCCUAGCCCUUUGUUUGAGACAAUGCGUCCAUUUUUAAAUACCUGCAGAUUUUCAAUGUUCUGAGAGUUGUCAUCAAUAACUCCGAAAAAAAGUGGAACCCACUCUGAUUAAUCGGUCCUAGUUUUAGCUAAGGAGGUGCUGCUCAUGGAAAGAAAUGAGAGCAAAGGAAUAGAAGAAAAAUCUACUUUGGCAAAUAACAGAAAGGAAUCGACAGAUGUAGGACAUUCACCUUAAAGUCUCCACCAUCCUUUAUGCUCAGGCAAUUAAUAAUGAUAGUAGUAAUAGUUUUUGCUAUAUAUCAGGUACUUUCCUUAGCAAUGUACUCAUUUAAGUCUCAUAAUAAUUCACCAUUUUGCACACUGAAGAAGCUGAAGCACAGAGAGUAAAAUAACUUGACCAAAGUCUCGAGAACAAAUGGCAGAGCUGUCAUUUGAACUUGAGGUAUCCGCUUCCACAGAUAAGACAGCAGGCUCCGUGGUGGCCCUUCCUCUUUCUCUCUCUGCCUCUCCACCAUCAUCUGCCCCAGCCACCUGAGCUGGCAAAACUGAAGCGAAUGCACCAUUGCCUUUUGCAAGUAGGACGCCUCCCCUUGUGGUUGCUCACAUUCUAAGAAGAUUCAAACCUUUCCAGCCCAGAUCACGAAAAUAUCUCUUGGCACAUGACACAGAACAGUUUCCUUUUGUUCUUCUUUCUCCUCGUUCAUACAGAGUCAAGUUUCCGGAUAGCCACUUUAUAGCGUUAUCACCCCCUUUUGUCCUGGUUUGUCUGACAGUAUUAAUGAAGACUUUAUAGCUAUUGACUAAAGCAAGAGGCUUAUAAAAAGAAAAUGACAAAAAUGGGCAUGGAGACGUUCUUUACUGAGCUCCGACUAGGUAGCUUUGUUGAAAGUGUCUGCUUCCUAUGACAAAACACCAUAGCUUCCCCCAAAUAGCUUGAUUUUUUUAAAAACUUGGUAGGAGAAUUCAAUUUUGUCUUUAAACUACUACUGACCUUUCAUUAUUCUUUGUCUGGAUUCCUUCGCAGCAAAAAAAUCCUUUUGCUGGCAAAUACUCAACAAACCUGAUACCUUGGGUAACACAAAAUACUUAUAAAUAUGUAUACAAUGGGACAUUUAUGUGUGCAUUGUGAGGAAUAAGUGAUUUAGGAUAUACAUCACUCGGAAUAUGUCACCACUAGCAAUAAUGAAGAUGGACAUGGCUUCAUUUCUGGUCUUCUAAAUACCAUAUAACACUAUGACCCAAGAGCUAUAAUGCUUUUUUUCCUUCUACAUUUUUAUGGAACAAGUUAUUCAUUUAAACACUGGCUCAAAAUUCUGUUUCAUUGCAGUAACUGUCAUAAAACACUAGCGAGGUGACUCAUUGUUACAGGGUAAUACUCAUCACCUGUCAGCAGCUCAUUAGCAUGAAUGAGUUGGCACUAAUGUGGCAAUUACCAUGAAUUGUCAAUUGCUAUCCUUGUGUCUUCUCCCAGCACCAAGAAUCAGGGAUGUUUGUGAAAUCGCAGAAGAGGGCAGAAGAGAGUCAAAUUGACAAAUCCAGCUGCCCACCACCUCUACUACCAGCGAAUAAUGGCAAAAGCAUCUGGAAUAAAAAUGAUGAUGAUGAUGAUAGCUAAUAUUUAUUGAACAAUUGUUCUUUGCUAGGCACUAGUCAAGUGUUUUACAUAUACAAUCUCAUUUACUACUUCCACUUGCCCCAUAAAGUACAUACUAUUAUUAAUACCAUUCCACAGAGGGUAAAACAGACUUCGAGACAUGACGUAAAUUGCCCAAGAUCACACAGCUGGUGAGUAGGUCAUCUGAAUCCAAAAUCCACGUGGUUAACAGUUUAACUGUCUUCCAGGAUUUCUCAACCUCAGCUCUACUGACACACGUGGCCAGAUAACUCUUUGCUGUGAGGCUCUGCCCUGUAGGACUGCAGGAUGCUUAGCAGCUUAGCAGCAUCCCUGGCCUCUGCCCACUAGAUGCCAGUAGCGCCUUCUCUCCCCGGCCCCGUUCCCUAGUUGUGGUGGCCGAAAAUGUCUCCAGACAUUACCAAAUGUCCUCCAGGGGCCAAAAUUGCCACUACCCCCAAGCUGAAAACCACUGUUCUAUUCUAACCCCUCUUUAUACUGAUUAUAUAAUAUCAUGUCAUUAAAUAACUCUCAGAAAUAUAAUUGUAAUGGCUAUAAUACAUUUUAUUGAAUAUGAAAUUAGUGCUACACCUUAAGUGUUACUUUUGAUUAUUUUAUAAAGAAAAAUCUAUAUUUGAGAACUUAAAACAAUCAGGUGCUUUGGAAUCUAUCCCUUUGGUGUAUAUUAGACAUAAAAGUAAACGUUGUCAAUGAAAUAACAAGCAGGGGGUGUUUUAUGUUGCAGAGACAAUCACCUUCCUGCUUUCAAACGUGCUGCUAUUUUCACGUGGUCUACUUUAGAAGAUAAAAUGAAGGAGACUGUCAGCAACGAGUUUCUUAAACAGUGAAGAGUUUAUUUGAUUACUGUAUACAGACAUAGCCUAAGUCACAUCAAAGAAAAUAUAAUUGCAUGCAUAUAUAUCUGAAAAUGAAAACAGACUCAUUAGUCAAAUUUUUUUAAAUUCAGAAUUCUAUUAUUUUCUUAAAAUGUCUAAUAAAUCAAAAUUUACUAAAGCUUUGGUUUUGGUUUUGUUCCUUUUAAAAUACAUACUUCAAUAUAUAUUAAAAGCUAGUAUUUUGCUAUUCCUACUUAUAUCAUUCACUAAAUAUUUAGGUGCCUAUUCUCCUAUUUACCUCUUUAGGAAAGAUAUAAAAAUUAAGGUCUGCAUUCCUGAGGAAAUUAUUUUAGGGACAAGAUAUUUAUACACAAAAGCCCUAAGAAUAAGAACAGAUAGUGUAAAGCAACUAGUAAGGUGUUUUGUAUAAUUCACAUUAAAGAAAAACGUAUACAGACACUUACACACAUCAAAGUUAAGGAAGAUAGUGAAAUUCAUUUGAUAGGCAUGUCUAUAUAAACAAUUUGUUGCAAAUUUUGCAUUUGAAGAGUCCGCAUGAAAAAA